rnacentral:lncRNA from 1 species
UAGACUGGUGGCGGUGGCGGAGGAGGUGGAGGAGAGUAAACUGGUGGCGGUGGCGGAGGUGGUGGUGGUGGUGGUGGUGGAGGGGGAGAAUAAACUGGUGGUGGCGAGCACCGGAUCUCCUAUUGUUGUUGUUGCAGAAACAAAAGCAAAACUAAUUCAGUAUUAUUACUACAGCAUGAUACCGUAGAUUUCAUCAAAUCACACAGAGAGAUAAAGAAGAAGAUGAACAGUAUUAUAAACCAAAAUCCCUAAUUGAAACAAAUCCCAGGAGGCUUACCUUUAACUGAAGCAAACAUCGAAAUCUUCC